rnacentral:rRNA from 1 species
AUUGAACGCUGGCGGCAGGCUUAACACAUGCAAGUCGAGCGAGCGGCGGACGGGUGAGUAAUGUCUGGGAAACUGCCUGAUGGAGGGGGAUAACUACUGGAAACGGUAGCUAAUACCGCAUCCCAUUAGAUGUGCCCAGAUGGCAUUAGCUAGUAGGUGGGGUAAUGGCUAACCUAGGCGACGAUCCCUAGCUGGUCUGCGAGGAUGACCAGCCAAACGGGAACUGAGACACGGUCCAGAAUCGUACGGGAGGCAGUAGUGGGGAAUAUUGCACAAUGGGGGAAAUCCGGAGGCAGCCAUGCCGCGUGUGUGAAGAAGGCCUUCGGGUUGUAAAGCACUUUCAGCGAGGAGGCGUUACUCGCAGAAGAAGCACCGGCUAACUCCGUGCCAGCAGACGCGGUAAUUC